rnacentral:sRNA from 1 species
GCCAGUACGAAAUAUGAGUACGGUGUGUUUCUGAGAGAGUGUCAUGUUCAUCUCUGUAGCAUAUGGAAACUUUUUCUUUUUUUCUUUUUCUUCCAGAGUAGCACAGAAGAGGGAGGAUGCUGUUUCCAAAGAAGUGACUCGAAAACUUUCUGAAGCUGAUAAUAGAAAGAUGUCUCGGAAGGAGAAAGAUGAAAGAAUCUUGUGGAAGAAGAAUGAAGUUGCUGAUUAUGAAGCUACAACAUUUUCCAUCUUCUAUAACAACACUCUGUUCCUGGUCGUGGUCAUUGUUGCUUCCUUCUUCAUAUUGAAGAACUUCAACCCCACAGUGAACUACAUUUUGUCCAUAAGUGCUUCAUCAGGACUCAUCGCCCUCCUGUCUACUGGCUCCAAAUAGACCAUGUUAGCUUCACCCCCUGGCUGUGUGUCUAUGGGUGGCCUGUGGUAUAUGGAAAAGUAGCAGGGUGGUCAGGGUGGGAGACACAAGAUGUUUUUAUAGUCUAGAGCCUUUAAAAAACCCAGCAGAAUGUAAUUCAGUAUUCGUUUAUUGGCUGUUUUUGACAGAUUGUUGAAAUUAAAUGAGUUGAAAGGGAAA